UACGUAGGAUGCAAGCGUUAUCCGGAUUUAUUGGGUUUAAAGGGUGCGUAGGCGGGUUUGUAAGUCAGUGGUGAAAGACUGUCGCUUAACGAUAGCAUUGCCAUUGAUACUGCAGAUCUUGAGUACACUUGAGGUAGGCGGAAUGUGUAGUGUAGCGGUGAAAUGCUUAGAUAUUACACAGAACACCAAUUGCGAAGGCAGCUUACUAAAUUGUUACUGACGCUGAGGCACGAAAGCGUGGGGAUCAAACAGG
rnacentral:rRNA from 1 species